rnacentral:tRNA from 1 species
UCCCCAGUGGCUCAGUGGUAAAGAAUCUGCCUGCAAUGCAGGAGACCUGGGUUCGAUCCUUGACUUGGGAA